rnacentral:rRNA from 1 species
UGCAGUCGAACGCAGUAGCAAUACUGAGUGGCAAACGGGUGAGUAUAAUGUGGGAAUCUGCCUUUUGGUUCGGAAUAACACGGGGAAACUUGUGCUAAUACCGGAUAAGCCCUUACGGGGAAAGUUUUAACGCCGAAAGAUGAGCCUGCACUUGAUUAGCUAGUUGGUAAGGUAAAGGCUUACCAAGGCAACGAUCAAUAGCUGUUCUUAGAGGAAGACCAGCCACAUUGGGACUGAGACACGGCCCAGACUCCUACGGGAGGCAGCAGUGGGGAAUCUUGCACAAUGGGGGAAACCCUGAUGCAGCGAUGCCGCGUGAGUGAAGAAGGCCCUUGGGUUGUAAAACUCUUUCGUCGGGGAAGAAAAUGACUGUACCCGAAUAAGAAGGUCCGGCUAACUUCGUGCCAGCAGCCGCGGUAAUACGAAGGGACCUAGCGUAGUUCGGAAUUACUGGGCUUAAAGAGCUCGUAGGUGGUUAAAAAAGUUGAUGGUGAAAUCCCAAGGCUCAACCUUGGAACUGCCAUCAAAACUUUUUAGCUAGAGUGUGAUAGAGGUAAGUGGAAUUUCUAGUGUAGAGGUGAAAUUCGUAGAUAUUAGAAAGAACACCAAAUGCGAAGGCAACUUACUGGGUCACUACUGACACUGAGGAGCGAAAGCAUGGGUAGCGAAGAGGAUUAGAUACCCUCGUAGUCCAUGCCGUAAACGAUGUGUGCUAGACGUUGGAAAUAUAUUUUUCAGUGUCGCAGCGAAAGCAUUAAGCACACCGCCUGGGGAGUACGACCGCAAGGUUAAAACUCAAAUGAAUUGACGGGGACCCGCACAAGCAGUGGAGC